GUGUAAACAAAGAGUCUAUCUUGUUCGUUCCUAAGAUGCUGCUAUUUCAAACUGAGGAAAAGAUUACUUUUGCAGACCAAAUCGAUUUUAAUUGGUUUGAUUCAACUUCAGUGCAUAACGGAUUAGGGCAAUAGAUCGAUCGAAUUGAACUUCCAUUCGGCCAAAACCACGAUCCAGACAUUUCUGAAAUGAUCAAGCCAACUUUAACAGGGAACCUGGAAACAGAAUCGCGUGGAUUUCUUCGGAGAAAGUGGAGCAUUUCGCAGCAUGUUUUUGUUUGUUGAACUCAAGAACAACAAGAUCACCAGAUGAACUCUCGGUUAUCCGACGUUGCACGACUGCGCCGUUUUCCUUCAGAACAAUCUUCAGAACCGGCUGCUGAAGUAACCUCUGGGACCC
rnacentral:lncRNA from 1 species